rnacentral:rRNA from 1 species
AUUGAACGCUGGCGGCAUGCCUUACACAUGCAAGUCGAACGGCAGCACGGGUGCUUGCACCUGGUGGCGAGUGGCGAACGGGUGAGUAAUACAUCGGAACGUACCUUAUCGUGGGGGAUAACGCAGCGAAAGCUGUGCUAAUACCGCAUACGCCCUGAGGGGGAAAGCGGGGACCGUAAGGCCUCGCGCAAUUAGAGCGGCCGAUACCUGAUUAGCUAGUUGGUGAGGUAAAGGCUCACCAAGGCAACGAUCAGUAGCUGGUCUGAGAGGACGAUCAGCCACACUGGGACUGAGUCACCGCCCAGACUCAUGCGGGAGAGAGCAGUGGGGAAUUUUGGCAAAUGGGGGCAAUCCUGAUCCAGCAAUGCCGAGUGAGUGGAGAAGGCCUUCGGGUUGUAAAGCUCUUUUGUCAGGGCAGAAACAGCAGCUCUAACACAGUAUGCGAAUGACGGUACCUGAAGAAUAAGCACCGGCCAACUACGUGCCAGCCGCCGCCGUAA